UAUGGGGGGGGCAAGCGUUGUUCGGAAUUACUGGGCGUAAAGGGCUCGUAGGCGGCCAACUAAGUCAGACGUGAAAUCCCUCGGCUUAACCGGGGAACUGCAUCUGAUACUGGAUGGCUUGAGUUCGGGAGAGGGAUGCGGAAUUCCAGGUGUAGCGGUGAAAUGCGUAGAUAUUGGGAGGAACACCGGUGGCGAAGGCGGCCCACUGGACCGGUACUGACGCUGAGACGCGAAAGCGUGGGGAGCGAACAGG
rnacentral:rRNA from 1 species